rnacentral:rRNA from 1 species
UACAGAGGUCUCAAGCGUUGUUCGGAUUCAUUGGGCGUAAAGGGCUCGUAGGCGGCCAACUAAGUCAGACGUGAAAUCCCUCGGCUUAACCGGGGAACUGCGUCUGAUACUGGAUGGCUCGAGUUUGGGAGAGGGAUGCGGAAUUCCAGGUGUAGCGGUGAAAUGCGUAGAUAUCUGGAGGAACACCGGUGGCGAAGGCGGCAUUCUGGACCAACACUGACGCUGAUGAGCGAAAGCCAGGGGAGCAAACGGG